UGACUUAAGGAUGGCUGUGAAAUGUGUGA
rnacentral:piRNA from 1 species